rfam:Oryza nivara chromosome 3, whole genome shotgun sequence.
AAUAAGUUUAUUUGUAGGUUUCUAUAUCUAGCGUUUAACCAUUCAUUUUAUUUAAUUUUUUUAUGAUUAGUACUUUUAUUGUUAUUAGAUGAUAAAAUAUGAACAGUACUUUACGCGUGACUUAUUUUACUUUUUUUUUUCAAAUAAGACGGACGGUCAAACGUUGAACAUAAAGACUCACAAAUAAACUUAUU